UACGUAGGGGGCAAGCGUUGUCCGGAAUUAUUGGGCGUAAAGCGCGUGUAGGCGGCCAGAUAAGUCCGCUGUGAAAUCUCGAGGCUCAACUUCGAGCUGUCGGUGGAAACUGUCUGGCUAGAGUCCGGAAGAGGAGAAUGGAAUUCCUGGUGUAGCGGUGAAAAUGCGCAGAUAUCAGGAAGAACACCCUGGCGAAGGCGGCAUCCUGGACCAUUACUGACGCUGAGGCGCGAAAAGCUAGGGGGAGCAAAACGGGG
rnacentral:rRNA from 1 species